ACAGUCGUGUUCGUCUUCUCCAUCCCGAUUCAACAGGCUGAAGAUCCAAUCGUGGACCACGUCUCUCGCCCACGAUCUCGUCGGGGAAGAUAACAGUCCUGCAAAGACAGGACUGGUUAGAGAAAGUGGCUGGGGAGUCUAUAAAAGAAGGAAAAAAUUAACCCAAAGGGAAAGAGAAAACAGAGCAAAAAAAAACCAGAGCAAAGAAAUAAUACACAGAGAGAAGGAGAGGAAAGAAAUCCAGCAUACAUAGAGAAUUGUCAUCGCCAUUACCUUCAUCUCUGCAGACAUCCCUGCACAAAAAAAAACACACCCAAGACAAUAACAGAAAGCCGGCACCUUCAUCAUCAUCUCAGGAGCAGCUGAAAGAAUAAAGCAUACGGACAGGCAGAAGCAGAGAGGAGACGAACGAACAGGAGGAGGAAGGAGAAAAUAGACAAAGAUUAUACAGGGCGUGAACGAACAGAAACAAACCAAAAAAUCAAAAAGAGAAGAGAACAUCCAGCCACCACGCCUUCGUCAUCGUCUUCGUUCCUACGCGUCCAGGUCCUUCAAAGGCAAUCAAUAUAUCUGAAAAACUAACCGGGACUCCCCACUGUAGCUGUCUUUGAUGCCCAAGAUCUUUAUGGUGCUCCUAGUGCAGAGAUUAAUGAGGUAGCAUGGACUAUCCUGUAUGAGGUAUAUUUUACAGGACAAUAUCUUACAGGUCAUAAUUGAUAUGGAAAGAUUCAAGCGAGAUAGUCAAGAGUUCUUGUACGAGGGACAGCAUCAUCUGAUGUCAUGAGAACAUGUGGCUUAAAGACUACGUAUAAGAUUGUUCUUCAUGAUGUCAAUUGAGAUGUGCGUUAUGAAAUAUAUGGAACAUAAAUCAUCCAAAUAAUAAUAAGCAAGAUCUGAAACUCUCUGCUCAUACAAUUUAUUUGUUUUAAGCUGGGGUGUCUGUAUAACCAAUUUAUUUCAUAUGAAUUUUUCUAUCAUAAA